UUUCCACCUUUCAUUUCUGGCCAUGGUGAAGAGGGGCGUGCUGCUUCACCUCGACUGGAGCUACCUGUACCCCAUAAGCUUUCCAUAAAAUAACCAUGCA
rnacentral:lncRNA from 1 species